rnacentral:rRNA from 1 species
UUGAGAGGAGCUGUCCUUAGUACGAGAGGACCGGGAUGGACGCACCGCUGGUGUACCAGUUGUUCUGCCAAGGGCAUCGCUGGGUAGCUAUGUGCGGACGGGAUAAGUGCUGAAAGCAUCUAAGCAUGAAGCCCCCCUCAAGAUGAGAUUUCCCAUUCCGCAAGGAAGUAAGAUCCCUGAAAGAUGAUCAGGUUGAUAGGUCUGAGGUGGAAGCGUGGUGACACGUGGAGCUGACAGAUACUAAUAGAUCGAGGACUUAACCUA